GGACUACUGGGGUUUCUAAUCCCGUUCGCUCCCCUGGCUUUCGCCCAUUAGCGUCAGUCACUCCCCAGGACACUGCCUUCGCCUUUGGUAUUCCUCCGGAUCUCUACGCAUUUCACCACUCCACCCGGAAUUCUGUGUCCCUCUGAAGUCCUCAAGUCGUGCCGUCUUCGAGGCGCUCUCCCGGUUAAGCCAGGAGCUGUUACCUCGAACUGACCCGACCGCCUGCGGGCCCUUUACGCCCAAUAAAUCCGGACAACGCUUGCCCCCUACGUAUUACCGCGGCUGCUGGCAC
rnacentral:rRNA from 1 species